CACGCUCCACACAAGGCAUUAAUUGUCUUGAGAAUGUGACCGUCUCGGGGAUUGACGUAACACCAGUAGUUGGAAUUGGUUGGGAUAUACCGAUUGCUGACUACAUAAUUGGUGU
rnacentral:sRNA from 12 species